rnacentral:lncRNA from 1 species
CUAACAAUUAAAUCAAUAAUUUCCAAGAGCUUUGAGCACAAUGUGUGGUCAUUUCACAUUACAUUUUCAUCAGGUAAAUCUUGUAAAUGCCUGUUUUCCCUCAGGUCCUUGCUUUUGGAGACAGUGCCUGGCUUGAUUAAGUUGAAUAAUGAGCAGACUGCUGCUGCUGCAGUGCCCCAUAAAUGUCCAGAACAGCAGUGGCGUUUCCAGGCCCUCUGUCAAGCACAACAAGAGUGACAAGAUUCACUUCUCCAGCAGCAAAAGAUGGAGAUCAGUUCUGCACCCUCACAAGAUGACGCCCAGCUUCUUGCAAUUGGCCACCAAGCAGACCUGCUCAGAAUGGCAGUGGACCAGUGUUAUGCCCAUGAAUAUAUCAAAAGCUGUUUUACAGAGGAUUCUACACUGGCAGCAGCUGCUAACAGUAGUUCAUGUACUUAUUCUGAAGCAUCUUUAUCACAAAAAGACUUGAGAUGUGUCUCCGGGAUACAGCAGAUUUGGCAGAAACACAAAAAGACUCAAUUUUCUCAAGCUGACCUUGAGCUACGAUCUGCUGACUGCAUGCACACACAAAAUAUUUUUACUUUUACAUUUAAUUUCUGUAUGUAG